GGUGCCGGUUGUCUUAUCGCUGACCCGAACUGGGUUGGAGGAAAGUCCGGACAGCGCAGAGCACCAUACUUCCUAACGGGAAGGCAGGCGGCUGGGAACGGCCGUCUGACAGCCAGUGUCACAGAAAAUAUACCGCCAGAAAACAGUUUACAGUUUUCUGUUUAUAGCUUGCAGUUCCGCGAAGCAGUCUUGCCUGCGUAAGCCAACUAUAAACUGUAAACAACAAACUGUAAACUGUUUUCGGGUAAGGGUGAAAAGGUGGGGUAAGGGCCUACCGCCCGGCGGGUGACCGACGGGGCAGGAUAAACCUUAUGGGCUGAAAGACCAAAUAUGCGGCAGAUUAGGGGCGGCUCGUUCCUGUAGGUUGGCUUCGGCUGGCCGAUGCUGUCGCGGGUAGGUCGAUAGAGGUCGUCGGUGACGGCGAUCCCAGAUAAAUGAUAAGACCCGGUGCGUCGGUUUUACCGAUAAUCCAGUGACAGAAUCCGGCUUAUAGGCCGGUAUUGCUC
rnacentral:RNase_P_RNA from 1 species